rnacentral:rRNA from 1 species
GACGAACGCUGGCGGCGUGCCUAAUACAUGCGAGUUGAGCGAUGAAGAUUGGUGCUUGCACCAAUUUGAAGAGCAGCGAACGGGUGAGUAACGCGUGGGGAAUCUGCCUUUGAGCGGGGGACAACAUUUGGAAACGAAUGCUAAUACCGCAUAACAACUUUAAACAUAAGUUUUAAGUUUGAAAGAUGCAAUUGCAUCACUCAAAGAUGAUCCCGCGUUGUAUUAGCUAGUUGGUGAGGUAAAGGCUCACCAAGGCGAUGAUACAUAGCCGACCUGAGAGGGUGAUCGGCCGCAUUGGGACUGAGACACGGCCCAAACUCCUACGGGAGGCAGCAGUAGGGAAUCUUCGGCAAUGGACGAAAGUCUGACCGAGCAACGCCGCGUGAGUGAAGAAGGGUUUCGGAUCGUAAAACUCUGUUGGUAGAGAAGAACGUUGGUGAGAGUGGAAAGCUCAUCAAGUGACGGUAACUACCCAGAAAGGGACGGCUAACUACGUG